GACCUCAAAUCGGGUGGGACUACCCGCUGAACUUAAGCAUAUCAAUAAGCGGAGGAAAAGAAACUAACAAGGAUUCCCCUAGUAACGGCGAGUGAAGAGGGAAAAGCUCAAAUUUUGAAUCUGGUGUCUUUGACUCCCGAGUUGUAAUCUAGAGAAGUGUUUUCCGUGUCGGACCGUGCACAAGUUCCCUGGAACGGGGCGUCAUAGAGGGUGAGAAUCCUGUAUAUGUCACGGACCGCCGAUGCUCUGUGAUACACUCUCAACGAGUCGAGUUGUUUGGGAAUGCAGCUCAAAAUGGGUGGUAAAUUCCAUCUAAAGCUAAAUAUUGGCGAGAGACCGAUAGCGAACAAGUACCGUGAGGGAAAGAUGAAAAGCACUUUGGAAAGAGAGUGAAACAGUACGUGAAAUUGUUGAAAGGGAAGCGU
rnacentral:rRNA from 1 species